UUACAGGUAGCCUAAGAGAAAAGAUAAUUACUUACCUACAAAGAAAUCACACCUGAACUGACUAAAGGCUUCGUUAACAAACAAGACCUGUCAAAAUGCAGAACAAAGGAGUUCUCAGGGCUGCCAACCUUCCAGUAGAGGUUGAGUAAUAGCAUAGGUCUCCUACAUUU